UUUAACAUGUUUUCUUUGUGUGUGUGUGUGUCGCAUCUAGAUCUAGAAUCAAAUGAGCAUAAGCUAACCUUCCUGGUGUGAUACACUAGUUACCGGUACACCCAAAAACAAAGGCUAGAAAAGGAUCUAUCUAGUUCUAGUUUUGUUUGGUGAUUCCAACAUACCGUAAGAAAAAAUUGUAACACACGGCAAGCGGAUGUUUCAGAUACGCAUGCGCCAAGGGUUAUCGAUUGCAUUCCUAACAUAAUACAAAUUGAAGGGAUUUGAAUUCAAGGCUAUACAUGAUGCUGCUACAAUGAUGCCACUGCAAGUCCUAACAAUACCUAGUCUAACAUUCUAAUCCAUACUUUGGAGGAGUGAAAUGAAUAUCAAGAGGGACUCUUUCUGGAAAACAAAUUAAUAACAUCAAGAAUACACGUGUAAAAGAUUUGCUUUAGUUUAUUUCAUUCACAGAUAAUGAUUAUUCAAGUGGGCUAUUUUGAACUCACAGAAAUGUCAUUUUCUUGAAAGGGACUUCUAAAAAUCAGCUUAAACCCUAAAUAUAGACCUAACCUUCAAAUGGGAACAGACAAAACUCUAGACAGUCAGACUUUAGAGAAGUUUUUGAGAUCAAUUAUAAUUUACAAUGUGAACAAAUCACUAAUUCAUAUUUUUUUUUUACACUUUGUUUCAAAAUGCUUUGUCUGUUAAUACUGGAGUGAGUUUUUGUAACCCUAACUUUAAUGUUAAACAAAUGUUAUUUGGUUAGGUUAUCAAAUUAAAAAGUUAAUGUUACUAAAGAGUACCAUCUGAUGUGUACUAUAACUCAAAGGGUCGUAGCUUCAUUAAAAUUAAAUGUAUUUAUUCUUUUGAUAGAGUUACCCUAGUAAUUAAACAAUGUAUGGCUGGUAUCUGUGAAUAAAAACCUGUCCUAUUUUAUGAAAUACUUUACAAAUUUUGGUUGGGUUGUACAAAUAAAACAAAAUAGUCAUAAAUUAUAAACUCACUAUCACAUCUCUUUAAUUCAGUCGGCUUUAAGUUGAGUGUAAUAAUGCCGAAGAUUUCUUUGAACUCAAGAUGAUCACAUAAAAAAACAAAUUAUAUGCAUUACUUAGAGACUUUAGGUUAACUGAUGAAUUGAUCUCAUAUUUCAGAGGAUCAUUCCUCUACUCUCAUCCCUCGAAUCAUAACAAAAUUAAUUAAAAUCUUUUCUUACAGGCAUAUAGAAAAACGCUGUUUUACACAAUCGCAACUCAUUAUCAAAUAGCGGCACAAGAGUGACUGUCAUUGCUGUCAAAAUUAUGCAUUAUUUUUUUUAAAGAGUGUAAUAAUUUGUCAUUGUAAAGAUCACUAGUGUAUAGCUAAGCUAUGAUGUCCAAAAGCAAUAAAAAUUUCUAAGUAGAAACUAACAAUGUUGUUUUUUUUAAAAAGGCCUAUAUAAGGAAAUAACUGCUAAUUUGAAAACAUUACUUUAUUUAUUUCCUUUUUUUUUAAAUAAUUAAUUAUUUGUUUAAUUUUGUUGAUUGAUUUGUGUUUGGUUAGGAACACUGAAUAAUUGCCACACCAAGUUUCCACUUGAGCCAGAAAAAAUGUGU